AUUUAUUAAAUUGGAUUUAUAAGACGUGUAAGAUUUAAGUGAUUGAAAAUAAUGUUUCGUUUAAUCUAAAUAGCUGCAUUUCAGAGGUAGAGGUGAAUAUUUGUUCACGGAAAGAAAGAAAUCCGCUCUGCUGCUAAUUUCUAUUUAUGAUUAUAGAAUCGUUAAUUUUACCAAGAAAACCAAUACAAUCAACUAAUAGUUUCGUUCUUACAAUUUAUCCAAACUUAUUUGAUCGCUAUUAGAAAGUGAUAGCUGGUGCUGUAGGAUACUUGGUUGUAGAAAAAUAUGAAUUGUGGGCGACAGUUUUUGAGUGCCUGUAUCUCUAAAGGCACCACCAAAUCAUCGUCUAAUUAUGAAGUGUGAUAUUGUAUUAACUACGUGAGGCCCUGCGUUUGACGAAGUAGGACGAUGUUUUGCGUGCAGAAGCCGACGAGAUCCGCCAUUUUGAAGCCGGC